AUGAAGAUUGCAGCUUUGGCGCUACUCCUAACACUCGCCUUUCUCGUGCUAGCAUCAAAUGCGGAUACGGAACCAACUUGUACGGUCAAAUACCUGAAGAAGUUUGGUGGGUAUUUGAUUGGUGGUUGUCAGGAAGAUUGUCACCGAAUCCUUACGUGCCCUGAGGACAAGGAAUGCAAUUUGGAGGCUGAUAUUGUUGGCAAGAGGUGCAGGUGCACAAUGUGCAUAUACUACUCCAAGGCUCCAAUAAAGGAAACUGUGAUGUUAAGUAGCUAA
rnacentral:rRNA from 1 species